AAAUCACAUCGUUCUAUAUCUAAAGUCCGAUGGAAUUCAUCAAAAUUUCAGAUGAAAAAACUCUGAUGGGGCUACACAUCUGACUCUAAAAUUUCGAUCAUGUGUAGGGGGCAUAAGAGAGUGUUAUUAUGUAUGGAAAAGCUCAACGUUGAAUUAAAUAAGUGAAGACUUAUUUAAUUCAACGAUCAUGUAAUGCAAUCUACAACUCCCCUUUCAUGUCUGACAUUGAUAGAAUGGGACCUAUGUGCAUGCCUAGUGUCACUAGCACUUUAUAAGCUCAUUAUUAUAUAUCCAAACUACAAUAUAUCGAUUAUCAACCAUUUCUAUUUAUACUCUUUAAUAGGUUGCUGUUUGGCAGUCGCUCUGUUGGGAUCCCCCCUCCCCCCACCCGGCCCGGGUUUUCAUUUGGCUGGUGUGUUGGAUCCUUCCCACUUUUUGCUGUGGGCCCUUGCAGGCCGUUACAUAUGGCACACUGGGAGACCGUUUGGGGAUUUUAGCCAUCCUUGCGGAGAUGUUCAACCAGAGGUCCUCCUGUGGAUUUUAGUUCAAACUCUGGUCUAGACAUAACUGAAACCUACACGCUCUUGCACCUCAACUUCCUCCGAAGAAGACCCUCAUAUGGGUUGAAACGCGUCAGAAAUUACUUGAUCUACAUAUUAACCACUCAUGUUAAUUCAUGUCAUGUACUUUGGUGCAACACUCUAUGUGUAAAUGUUUUUAGUGUAAACUAUACCAGAGCUUAUUGUUUUAUACUUUUUCUACCAUUAAAUAAUUUUUCUAUUUUGUUA